UUCAUCUUUGUAUUUUUGUAGGUCCAGACUUUGGUGAGAAAGCGGAGUUUCGUAGACUUCCUUUUGAUCACUGUGCUCUGUCUUUUCAACCAUUUGAACACCCACUUUGUACACCUGAAGGAGUCAUCUAUGACUUGAUGAACAUUGUUCCUUUUCUAAAGAAGUUUGAAGUUGAUCCUGCAACAGGAAAACCUUUGGAUAUUAAGUCUCUAGUGAAACUCAAUUUCCAUAAAAAUUCUGAAGGGAAGUAUCACUGUCCAGUUUUGUACAAGGUAUUCAACCAAAACAGUCACAUUGUAGCCAUCAAGCCAACAGGAAAUGUGUUCUCUUAUGAGG